CUUGACCUUCCAGCGAAAAAUAAAACACAAACAACAACAACAGGAAAUAGCAAUGUUUACAGGAAUUCUCACAUGUUUUGUCCUACUCUCAAUUGGUAAAUCGUUGUUUUAUGUAGCCAAAUGUGAUCCUGACACAGGUGGAUAUUUCAUCAGACCACACAACCAUUCAGGUAGAGGAAUGUCUGCGACUAAGCCGAGGGCCACUGCAUAAGGGUUAUUGAUGGCAAAACAGGUUGGAGGCUACAUGAGAUUUUGACAGAUGGCGGGAAACCCUCAUCAACUGGAGAUCAGCCUGUAAAAAGGUGGCCUUAAAACAGUGACCGUUGAUUUGCGUCGAGUUCUUUCUUACAUACUGCAUGACCUAUCUUUUUUAUUGUUUAAAUCCAUUCGGCUUGGCAUGCUCUUUAAGAAAAGGUAUGGGUAUGGGGGUGUCUACGCGCACAAGUUUGACUUUAUUUUUCGUUGAAGUUGUCGGUUUUACAUUGAAUUUGUUAAGGAAAGCUUUUGGUAUAUUGUGACCUAAACUAUCUUUGUACCACUGAAAAUAUUAGUUAUGUCAGACAUUUAAUUGGAUUAAAAACUGA